rnacentral:pre_miRNA from 1 species
GGGGGGAACUUUACUCAGUUUGAUUCAUUUAAUUUGAAAGUCACUGGGUACGUUCGCCCUUG